UGGGGAAUAUUGGACAAUGGGCGAAAGCCUGAUCCAGCCAUGCCGCGUGUGUGAAGAAGGUCUUCGGAUUGUAAAGCACUUUAAGUUGGGAGGAAGGGCAGUAAGCGAAUACCUUGCUGUUUUGACGUUACCGACAGAAUAAGCACCGGCUAACUCUGUGCCAGCAGCCGCGGUAAUACAGAGGGUGCAAGCGUUAAUCGGAAUUACUGGGCGUAAAGCGCGCGUAUGUGGUUCGGUAAGUUGAAUGUGAAAGCCCCCGGCUCAACCUCGGAACUGCAUCCAAAACUGGCGGGCUAGAGUACGGCAGAGGGUGGUGGAAUUUCCUGUGUAGCGGUGAAAUGCGUAGAUAUAGGGAGGAACACCAGUGGCGAAGGCGACCACCUGGGCUCAUACUGACACUGAGGUGCGAAAGCGUGGGGGGCAAACAGG
rnacentral:rRNA from 1 species